UGUAAAAUGCGCAGCCCAGCUGAGCUGGGGUCUCUCUCCCACCACAUAUUUCUGUAAUGUAUUUCUCCUUCUUCUUCAUCAUCAACAAUGAUACGUUCUCUGUGCCGCACAGUGUAUCCAGUAAGUACUAACAUUAAUGGAGAUUGCUUAAAUGCUCAUGCUUCUAGGUUUCAUUUUAUUAGGGUUAAUUUCAUUUCAUCUGUUGGUUCUUCCCCAAAUCACAAUAUGUCCUCUUCAUCUUCGUUGGUUUUCAAUUACCUGAUCAAUUCAUCAUUUCAAAACCUCAUCAAACCCAGAUUCAGUCCUUACCCUACUUGAAAACUGCGGAUUCACUAAAGCUCACAUUUCCAAAACCAUUUCUAGGUUUCCCUCGGUACUUUUAUACAAUCCUCAGAAAACCCUUCAACUAAAAUUAGAUUUUCGAUUUUCCAAUGACCUAGCCAAAUUCAUCUCUAAUCACCCAUGUGUUCUUGAGAGAAGCUUACAAGUUGCAAUAAUCCCUUGCUGUGAUACCCUCCACAACAUUGUUCAAAAAUGAGAUUCCAGAAGAGAUUAAGGGUAUGGGUUUCGAUCCUUAUAAAACCACAUAUUUUAAAGAUAUACAGGGAUUGACAUGUAUGAGCAAAUCGACUUGGAAAGCAAAGCUGAAUGUUUAUAGGAAAUGAGGGUUGGUCAGCUGAAGAAAUUUCAAAUGAAUUUAAUAAAGAACCUAGAUGUAUGGCAUAUUCAGAGAAGAAGAUAACAUCGAUCAUGGAUUAGACAAAUAUCCGAGAAUAUUUGAAUCUAGCCUGAAGAAAACCAUUUUCCCUAGACGUGUUGUUGUUCAGUGUUUAGUCUCUAAGGGUCAGAUUGAGAAGCAAAUUUCCUUAGAUUCACUUGUUAAAACAUCUGAGAAGUCUUUCUUGAAGAAGUUGGUGAGCAUGUAUGUGGUAGAAGAACCCGAACUAUUGAAGUUCUUGACCAUAUUGUACGGUGAAUGAUUCGACAAAAUGGAACGAGUAAAAAACAAUUUAUGUUAAGGAGGCGCACCAAAUUUCUAGUGUUAUUUUGAUGAAAGAUGAUUGGCGACUUAGACGUCAGAGAUGUUUUUCUGGAAGAAGGCAGAAAAUAUGAUUGGCAGAAAUAACAAGAUGAAGGUUUACAUCACAAAGACUUAAAUAAGGGACAAUGACAGAUCACAUGGAUGCCUGAUGGCUCAAUUAAAGCAGACACAUCCGGGUUUGAGAGCUAAGGAUGAAUCAUUUUGAUUAUCAUUAAGUCAUGCGCGCAGCAGGACCUUGGGAGUGUUAAUAUUGUUCAUGAACCAGUACAAUUCUUGACUGCAGGAGCGAUAACUAUAUCCUCAUCCUCCACAGAGCAAGCUGAAGCUACUGCGCUUCAAAAUGCAGUUUGCUGGGUUCCCAUGCAUUUGCAGCAUACUAUAAACUCUGUAAUUAUAGAUCUCGUCCCUGACUGUAAAUUAGCUUUGAAUGUUUCUAUGUGUGAUGGGGUUGAAAGGAAUUGAUCGUUCUCGUCAUUCCUUGUACAUCUGUUUUCCUUUGAAUAUAAUAACCAAAAAAAAAAUUAAAGCUGUCAAUUUACAAUUUAGUUGUACAA